UAGCGGAAACGAGAAGUAGCUUGCUACUUCGGCGUCGAGCGGCGGACGGGUGAGUAAUGCCUAGGAAAUUGCCUUGAUGUGGGGGAUAACUAUUGGAAACGAUAGCUAAUACCGCAUAACGCCUACGGGCCAAAGAGGGGGAUCUUCGGACCUCUCGCGUCAAGAUAUGCCUAGGUGGGAUUAGCUAGUUGGUGAGGUAAUGGCUCACCAAGGCAACGAUCCCUAGCUGGUCUGAGAGGAUGAUCAGCCACACUGGAACUGAGACACGGUCCAGACUCCUACGGGAGGCAGCAGUGGGGAAUAUUGCACAAUGGGCGCAAGCCUGAUGCAGCCAUGCCGCGUGUAUGAAGAAGGCCUUCGGGUUGUAAAGUACUUUCAGUCGUGAGGAAGGUUCAUACGUUAAUAGCG
rnacentral:rRNA from 1 species